rnacentral:lncRNA from 1 species
GUCUAAUUUGGUCUGAGAAACGAGUAAGCCAUAUAAAUAUUGUAUCUGGGUCAACAAACAGCUGUUCAGAAAUAUCUAUGGUAUUUUCUGUUUACUCUAAUUGCCUUGGAUAAUAGUCGCUAGGCAACAGGACUGUUUGCCUCAUCAUGCAGAGUGGAUGUUAGUUAAGUUGUUAUAUUAUAUAACGCAUCAAGUCCUGCUAUCUAUUGCACAGAUCAAGUCAAAUGAAUAUAAUCAUGCAACAAAGCAUGGAAGCAUGGAAUCAAAUGACAGCAAAGCAGAGCUACAGUGGACGCCUUUCUCUUCAAGGCAUCAAGACAUCCUGCCCAAUGUCAGCAAAUUGCUUUCUUCAUCUCAGAAUCCCCCAGUGUCUGCUGAGUAUGAAAGGCAAGAUUGCCAAUAUGAGCAUAUUCAAUCAGGAUGGCCCGAGGGGGCGGUGAACCUGCACCUGCUGGAUGAAGAAUUAGAGGUGGCAAACUAGUCCUCUGGGCCAUAAAUUAAGAUACCUACAGAGUUCCAAGUUUGAGAAUGAGUUUUUAGGAAGUAUUUGCCUUUCAUUUAAGCCUCUUCUCUGCAGUCUUGCUAAGUGAAAGCAGUGAAUUUUUAAUUAUCUUGUGAAAAUAUAUCCUCGGUAGCAUUUUUUGUCAGUUCAACCAAGAUUAAUUACUGGAAUUUACUUGCUUGUACUUGAGUAUAUGCAUGUUGGCCUUGUUUAGCAGGCUCGAGAAUUUACUUUUUAUAAAACUGACUCUGCUAUGUUUAAAACAAGGUCACAGGCAAAAGUUCUAUAUUUAAUUGACCAACCGUGGUGCUUUUAAUUGCUCCCUCUAGAAAGAACGGCUACCAGAAGGAAAACGUCAUGGUUUUAUGUUAGCCAGAAAAAAAAUUUCAUGACUUCAUAGUGGGAUAUCUAAAUCACACAUGAUCAUGCAGUGACAAAGGACAACGGGGUCCCCUCUGCAUGCUUUAAUCUGUCACACCCACUUCUCAAUGACAGCCAUCCCAUCACUCACUGCAAGGAGACGAAUAAGUCUGGAAACAUCAACGAAUGCACAAUGAAGAGGUUGCUGAUGUUAUAACACAUGAUAAAUAAUAGACAAACAUUCCUAGACUGUAUGGCCACCCUCUGUAACGAACAGCUCUCCAAGUAUAGUCA